CACCCCAUUGUGCUGCCAAGCAACAACAACUUUAAGCUUCCUCGCAGCCGCCAGCAGGGCACCGAGAUCCGUGCGCGGCUACGCUCCAGCUGCCGCGCCGCCGCGGACCAGCAGCAAGAGGCCCUGCUGCCGCCAUCCUCGAUGGCCUUGCGGGCUUUCCCGUUAGCCAUCUCCGGCAGCGACGAGGGGAAGGUAGGUGGGUGGGGGAGACGGCCUGGCUGGUGAGUUGCCUCCCAUGUCGCCCCGGCUGGGGAGUGACGCGAGAGUUUUUGUUGUUGUUCCCUGUAUCAGACUAUCAGUGUGGUGUGUAGGGGUGAGCUAGUUUAAUUUGAACCUGCUCUGAUCAACACAUGUUGUGCGGUUGUACCUAAAGUGCUACGACUGCCAGGCAGAGAAAGGAUCCGAUCCUUGCGAGCGUAGAGGCGAUGUCCCAUCGAUCUUCAUCUUUGAGACUUAUUGUCUUCAUGAAGACUGAAGACACAACAUGCUUCACCUUACAUGUAUCAAGCCGGGAAGUAUAAUAAACUUCUUCGAUUGAUCUUUAGGAUAGUUAUCACUAAUCUUUCAUCACAAGCCAUGUAUUCAAUCCUUGCAUCAAUUCUUCCAACGUUGUAGAGGAAAUGUGGACCUGGCUUGAUCUAAAUUUUUUUGUGAGAUUUUAGACACAUAGAUAAUGAGUUUACUCAAAUUUUUAUUUUUAUUUUGAAUAUUUUAGAGAUGAUAUGGUGCGUUGGUAGCUUCAUAGUAGUGACGUCAACGGAAGCGGACCGUCCGCGAGCCCGCUUCAGCCGUCCGCAAAAAAGCACUUAAGUGGCGUCCAUUUAAGUCCGUUGACACCUCAUGACCCAAUUGGGUAGGCCCACUUCGUCUAACGACGCCGCAAAACACCGCAUCUUGAUCCCACAUGCCGCCGUCGCUCGCUCCAAACAUGCCGCCGCCGCCCGAUCUCAGCGAGGCAGCGCCUCGUCGCCCUCAGCCAGUACGUCUCGGCGCACACGAGCAACCCGCCAGACUACAUCCACACACAGCAGCAACAACCUGUGCAGGUUAUUCGCAAAAAAAGAAGCAGCAUCAACCCGUGGAGGUGAUCGGAGGUCCGAUACAGGCGACGUGGAUUCGGGAUCCCGUUGGCGAGCUGCGAGCGGCUUCUGCUGGAUUUGCGGCGAGCGGCGGCGGCGGCGAGUGGUUUCUGCUGGAAUUGCUGCGAGAGGCUAGGCGGCGGCGGCUGUGCUGCGGCGUUCGACGACGGAAGGGGAGAGGAGCAGCCUACCGCGAGCUCGCUUCUUAAUUUGACGACGCGGCGGUCCACGGAAGAGCAGUCCCGACAUCCACCGGCGGCAGCGCCCGCCUCUCUCUCUCUCUCUCUCCCUCAGGCUAAUAGCAUCCAGGAGGUUCUCUUUCCUCCGGUGAAGAAGCUCGUCCCGGCGGUUAUAUCUGCUGCGGCCAAGUCGCCUCUCCCUCCACUUCGACCUGGUCGGCAGUGGCUCCGCACGGCUCGACCGUCCAGGGCCGGAGGGCCCCUCCCGCACCGGCAGCAGGAUCCCUGACCUCCCGGAGCUGCAGCCCAGGUCAGCUCCAUGGAAUAAUUUUUGGCCACGAAAUUUCCUGCACUGAUGCUAGCUAAUUUUUCAACGAUUUGCACCCGCCGGUCCUCAUACGCCCCUCAUCACGUGCUCGACGAGCUGCACGACUGCCCGCCCUCAUCUACUGUCACGGUUCUUAAAUUGGAUCCACAAUUCAGCAGGCUUUCACUGUCAAAGAUCCUCGAGUGCAGGUUCUUAAAUUGGAUCCACUAAUUCAGCGGGCUUCCUUUGCUGCUUUAGCUGUCAAAGAUAUUUGAGGUAUCUAAAUUCCUAGACAUAAUUGCCCACUCGUUUUUAUGAUUCUGUCUGAAACGGAUAAAUUCUCACAUGCACUUAAUUCCAAGGGGUUGUUGCAUGAGGCAUGAGCAGUAUCUAGCUUUCUUUAGUAUCCACUAAUUCACUUGGAUUCAUGAUAAAUACGAGGAAGAUGUCAAAGAGAAGGCGAUAAAUACCAUCGUUCCUUACCUUCUUCAGAUGUUUUGGUUAAAACCAGGAAAUAGGUUGGGAACGAAGUAUUUAUGAAACAGGUCAUUGGAAGCUACUCCAUCUGAUCCUAAAUUCUUGACUCAAAUUUGCCCAAAUAUGGAUGUAUCUAUUCUUAAAAAAUGUCUAGAUACAUGUAAUAUUUCGACAACAAUUUAGGAUCGGAUGGAGUACAAAAAUAAGAAAGGGAAACGAUUAUAAUUAUAUUUCUGAAGCUAAGAUCUAAGAAGGAACCGGCAUCCAUGGCUCUGUUGGGACCGCAGCCCUUGGAACUACAGUUGGGGGUAGCUUUACCAUGAACUAACUGCAGUAGGAGAACUUCCUGUAUUGGCCCAAUAGUCCAUUCCUAUGUUCAAGUUUGUAGUUGGACCAGGCAUUGAAAUACUCGAUGGCAUUGGCAUGAUUUCCAAGGUCUUACCAUGUUCCACAAAGUUUUAUCGUGUAAUCAUGUUCAAGCUGCCCAGACUUCCUUUGAAUCUUUUAAUGGGACUAUAUUCUCUUUUCCUUCAGAGGACUUGCCAUCUGUUUCACCAGCAGCAGUACUGCAGUAGCUGUAGUAGUGGCAGUUGCCUGAAAAGCUUUGAUGCAUUAGAUUGAUAACAAAUGGUUCUUUGGUUAAAACCAUUUUCGUUUGUGGUAGAUUCGUAUAGCCGUUAUUCUGCUGACUAUGGUACUCACUGUUAGGAUAAAUUUUCUGAUCUAGAAUUUGUUUUACAAUGACCUGAGAAGCUCAUUUUUCCAUGAUCGAAUCAUCGUCUCACAAGUAGAAAUAACAAAUACUGAAAUUUAUUGCAUAGUUUCUUUUCUGAAUCCUGUUAUUGCUGCUUAAACUAAUGUUCAUACUUGAUUUAAGUUAUCCAUCCUUUGGUUAAAACCAUAUUCAUUUUAUGGAGUAGUUACGAAUCUUACGAUAAUCAUUGUACAUGAGAUUUUUACUCGUAAGAUCCCGAUGCCGUCUUCUGGAUGACGAGGAGGAUGAAGAUGAUCAGGGGGAAGAUGAUGAGAAAGAUAGUGAAUUACCAUGCGGAUUAUACAGUAGUGAUUAGUACUACUAUGCCAGGCAACUGAUUAGAUUAGAAUGGGAAUGAUAUGUUGUUCUGCUGAUUCACGAAAUGAUUUGUAGUUCUUGCACAUUAGACAUAAUAGUUGAGACUUAUUGUGACUCUCAGAUGAUCCUAAAAACUUAAGCAUUAUGCUUCGGUAUUCUGAGAUUAUGUCAUGAGUGUGCUCUGUAAUAUUCACUAAAUAAUUAUGUCGUCAGAUGGAGGGAUUGAAACUGUUAUGCAAGAGACUUUUUUUUAAAACUA